rnacentral:rRNA from 1 species
GAUGAACGCUGGCGGCGUGCCUAAUACAUGCAAGUCGAGCGAACGGACGAGAAGCUUGCUUCUCUGAUGUUAGCGGCGGACGGGUGAGUAACACGUGGAUAACCUACCUAUAAGACUGGGAUAACUUCGGGAAACCGUAGCUAAUACCGGAUAAUAUUUUGAACCGCAUGGUUCACAAGUGAAAGACGGUCUUGCUGUCACUUAUAUAUGGAUCCGCGCUGCAUUAGCUAGUUGGUAAGGUAACGGCUUACCAAGGCAACGAUGCUUAGCCGACCUGAGAGGGUGAUCGGCCACACUUGAACUGAGACAAGGUCCAGACUCCUAAGGGAGGCAGCAGUAGGGAAUCUUCCGCCAUGGGCGAAAGCCUGACGGAGCAACGCCGCGUGAGUGAUGAAGGUCUUCGGAUCGGAAAACUCUUGUAUUAGGGAAGAACAUAUGUGUAAGUAACUGUGCACAUCUUGACGGUACCUAAUCAGAAAGCCACGGCUAACUACGUG